UAUUCAGAACAACAUUCAAAUAAUGUAUCCACCCAGUUAAUGUGUCCAGGCCCUGAAAUAGACAUAAAGCAACAAGAAGGUCUGGUAGUUGGGUGUAAGGAACUAGAUCUACAUAGUAACAGCAACAACAACAAAAAUGAAAAUGAUGUCUAUUAUGAAAAACAAUAUGACUGAUGGACAACUACUGUAAAGUGUACACAUAUAGAGAAACAUGCUCACUGCAGAAUGACAACUUAAGGCCACUGGUCACACCAUGAUGGGAGAAAGACAGUGGUAUAGAGAGGCCUGGGAAAGAGUUGGUGCAGGUGUCAAACUGUUAAAUAAACGUUAUUUGUGAAUACAUGUGCAAAUAGAAAAUUGUAACAUUUCCUGCACUUGGUAAAUAAAAACAAAUUGUUGUCAUUAUUUACAUUAA